CCUACGGGUGGCAGCAGUAGGGAAUCUUCCACAAUGGGCGAAAGCCUGAUGGAGCAACGCCGCGUGGGUGAAGAAGGUCUUCGGAUCGUAAAACCCUGUUGUUAGAGAAGAAAGUGCGUGAGAGUAACUGUUCACGUUUCGACGGUAUCUAACCAGAAAGCCACGGCUAACUACGUGCCAGCAGCCGCGGUAAUACGUAGGUGGCCAGCGUUAUCCGGAUUUAUUGGGCGUAAGGGGAACGCAGGCGGUCUUUUAAGUCUGAUGUGAAAGCCGUCGGCUUAACCGGAGUAGUGCAUUGGAAACGGGGAGACGUGAGUGCAGAAGAGGAGAGUGGAACUCCAUGUGUAGCGGUGAAAUGCGUAGAUAUAUGGAAGAACACCAGUGGCGAAAGCGGCUCUCUGGUCUGUAACUGACGCUGAGGUUCGAAAGCGUGGGUAGCAAACAGGAUUAGAUACCCCUGUAGUC
rnacentral:rRNA from 1 species